rnacentral:piRNA from 1 species
UCCUCGAAUAUUGGGCAGUCC